CAGUACCGUGAGGGAAAGGCGAAAAGAACCCCGGCGAGGGGAGUGAAAAAGAACCUGAAACCGUGUACGUACAAGCAGUGGGAGCCUCUUUAUGGGGUGACUGCGUACCUUUUGUAUAAUGGGUCAGCGACUUAUAUUCUGUAGCAAGGUUAACCGAAUAGGGGAGCCGAAGGGAAACCGAGUCUUAACUGGGCGUUAAGUUGCAGGGUAUAGACCCGAAACCCGGUGAUCUAGCCAUGGGCAGGUUGAAGGUUGGGUAACACUAACUGGAGGACCGAACCGACUAAUGUUGAAAAAUUAGCGGAUGACUUGUGGCUGGGGGUGAAAGGCCAAUCAAACCGGGAGAUAGCUGGUUCUCCCCGAAAGCUAUUUAGGUAGCGCCUCGUGAAUUCAUCUCCGGGGGUAGAGCACUGUUUCGGCAAGGGGGUCAUCCCGACUUACCAACCCGAUGCAAACUGCGAAUACCGGAGAAUGUUAUCACGGGAGACACACGGCGGGUGCUAACGUCCGUCGUGAAGAGGGAAACAACCCAGACCGCCAGCUAAGGUCCCAAAGUCAUGGUUAAGUGGGAAACGAUGUGGGAAGGCCCAGACAGCCAGGAUGUUGGCUUAGAAGCAGCCAUCAUUUAAAGAAAGCGUAAUAGCUCACUGGUCGAGUCGGCCUGCGCGGAAGAUGUAACGGGGCUAAACCAUGCACCGAAGCUGCGGCAGCGACACUAUGUGUUGUUGGGUAGGGGAGCGUUCUGUAAGCCGUUGAAGGUGGCCUGUGAGGGUUGCUGGAGGUAUCAGAAGUGCGAAUGCUGACAUAAGUAACGAUAAAGCGGGUGAAAAGCCCGCUCGCCGGAAGACCAAGGGUUCCUGUCCAACGUUAAUCGGGGCAGGGUGAGUCGACCCCUAAGGCGAGGCCGAAAGGCGUAGUCGAUGGGAAACAGGUUAAUAUUCCUGUACUUGGUGUUACUGCGAAGGGGGGACGGAGAAGGCUAUGUUGGCCGGGCGACGGUUGUCCCGGUUUAAGCGUGUAGGCUGAUUUUCCAGGCAAAUCCGGAGAAUCAAGGCUGAGGCGUGAUGACGAGGCACUACGGUGCUGAAGCAACAAAUGCCCUGCUUCCAGGAAAAGCCUCUAAGCAUCAGGUAACAUCAAAUCGUACCCCAAACCGACACAGGUGGUCAGGUAGAGAAUACCAAGGCGCUUGAGAGAACUCGGGUGAAGGAACUAGGCAAAAUGGUGCCGUAACUUCGGGAGAAGGCACGCUGAUAUGUAGGUGAAGCGACUUGCUCGUGGAGCUGAAAUCAGUCGAAGAUACCAGCUGGCUGCAACUGUUUAUUAAAAACACAGCACUGUGCAAACACGAAAGUGGACGUAUACGGUGUGACGCCUGCCCGGUGCCGGAAGGUUAAUUGAUGGGGUCAGCCGCAAGGCGAAGCUCUUGAUCGAAGCCCCGGUAAACGGCGGCCGUAACUAUAACGGUCCUAAGGUAGCGAAAUUCCUUGUCGGGUAAGUUCCGACCUGCACGAAUGGCGUAAUGAUGGCCAGGCUGUCUCCACCCGAGACUCAGUGAAAUUGAACUCGCUGUGAAGAUGCAGUGUACCCGCGGCAAGACGGAAAGACCCCGUGAACCUUUACUAUAGCUUGACACUGAACAUUGAGCCUUGAUGUGUAGGAUAGGUGGGAGGCUUUGAAGUGUGGACGCCAGUCUGCAUGGAGCCGACCUUGAAAUACCACCCUUUAAUGUUUGAUGUUCUAACGUGGACCCGUGAUCCGGGUUGCGGACAGUGUCUGGUGGGUAGUUUGACUGGGGCGGUCUCCUCCUAAAGAGUAACGGAGGAGCACGAAGGUUGGCUAAUCCUGGUCGGACAUCAGGAGGUUAGUGCAAUGGCAUAAGCCAGCUUGACUGCGAGCGUGACGGCGCGAGCAGGUGCGAAAGCAGGUCAUAGUGAUCCGGUGGUUCUGAAUGGAAGGGCCAUCGCUCAAC
rnacentral:rRNA from 1 species